rfam:Myotis brandtii contig236770, whole genome shotgun sequence.
AGGCCCGGAGAGAGAAGCAGGGACUGAUCCGCAGCCUUCAUGGCAGCUGUUGAUCAGCCUUGCCUCUCUCUUUCUUUCCA